GACGAACGCUGGCGGCGUGCUUAACACAUGCAAGUCGAGCGGUAAGGCCCUUUCGGGGGUACACGAGCGGCGAACGGGUGAGUAACACGUGGGUGACCUGCCCUCAGCUCUGGGAUAAGCCUGGGAAACCGGGUCUAAUACUGGAUAUGACUCCAUGACGCAUGUUGUGGGGUGGAAAGCCUUGUGCGGCUGAGGAUGGGCCCGCGGCCUAUCAGCUUGUUGGUGGGGUGANGGCCUACCAAGGCGACGACGGGUAGCCGGCCUGAGAGGCGACCGGCCACACUGGGACUGAGACACGGCCCAGACUCCUACGGGNGGCAGCAGUGGGGAAUCUUGCGCAAUGGGCGAAAGCCUGACGCAGCGACGCCGCGUGAGGGAUGACGGCCUGG
rnacentral:rRNA from 1 species